rnacentral:rRNA from 1 species
ACUCCUACGGGAGGCAGCAGUGGGGAAUUUUGGACAAUGGGGGCAACCCUGAUCCAGCAAUGCCGCGUGUGUGAAGAAGGCCUUCGGGUUGUAAAGCACUUUUGUCCGGAAAGAAAUCCUUUGGGCUAAUACCCUAGGGGGAUGACGGUACCGGAAGAAUAAGCACCGGCUAACUACGUGCCAGCAGCCGCGGUAAUACGUAGGGUGCGAGCGUUAAUCGGAAUUACUGGGCGUAAAGCGUGCGCAGGCGGUUCGCUAAGACCGAUGUGAAAUCCCCGGGCUUAACCUGGGAACUGCAUUGGUGACUGGCGGGCUAGAGUAUGGCAGAGGGGGGUAGAAUUCCACGUGUAGCAGUGAAAUGCGUAGAGAUGUGGAGGAAUACCGAUGGCGAAGGCAGCCCCCUGGGCCAAUACUGACGCUCAUGCACGAAAGCGUGGGGAGCAAACAGGAUUAGAUACCCUGGUAGUC